ACUCAAAUGAAUUGACGGGGGCCCGCACAAGCGGUGGAGCAUGUGGUUCAAUUCGACGCAACGCGAAGAACCUUACCCAGGCUUGAACUGCGAGUGACAUCCUACGAAAGUAGGCUUCCGCAAGGACACUCGUAGAGGUGCUGCAUGGCUGUCGUCAGCUCGUGUCGUGAGAUGUUGGGUUAAGUCCCGCAACGAGCGCAACCCUUGUCUUCUGUUGCCAUCGGGUCAAGCCGGGCACUCUGAAGAGACUGCCGGUGACAAACCGGAGGAAGGUGGGGAUGACGUCAAGUCAGCAUGGCCUUUAUGUCUGGGGCCACACACGUGCUACAAUGGCCGGUACAAACCGUUGCAAACUCGCGAGGGUGAGCUAAUCGGAGAAAGCCGGUCUCAGUUCGGAUUGUAGGCUGCAACUCGCCUGCAUGAAGUUGGAAUCGCUAGUAAUCGCGGAUCAGCACGCCGCGGUGAAUACGUUCCCGGGCCUUGUACACACCGCCCGU
rnacentral:rRNA from 1 species